rnacentral:rRNA from 1 species
GAACUCAGUUACUACUUAACUUACACAUGCAAGUCUCCGCCCCCCUGUGAGAACGCCCUUUAACCCCUUCAAGGGAUAAGGAGCUGGUAUCAGGCCCAAAAUUAGCCCAAGACACCUGGCUUCGCCACACCCACACGGGAAUUCAGCAGUGAUUAAUAUUGAAAAUAAGCGACAGCUUGAAUCAGUCAAAGUAGAGAGAGCCGGCUAAUCUGGUGCCAGCCGCCGCGGUUACACCAUGUGGCUCAAACUGAUCUCCUUCGGCGUAAAGCGUGAUUAAAGCCCAUAACAACUGCAAUUAAACCAGAACUGAGCUGUAACACGCCUAUUCCUGAGAACCCCACAAACGAAAGUCAUUGCAACCUUAAACUUGAACUCACGACAGCUAGGAAACAAACUGGGA